UGGGGAAUUUUGGACAAUGGGCGAAAGCCUGAUCCAGCCAUGCCGCGUGCAGGAUGAAGGCCUUCGGGUUGUAAACUGCUUUUGUACGGAACGAAAAGCCUCUUUCUAAUAAAGAGAGGUCAUGACGGUACCGUAAGAAUAAGCACCGGCUAACUACGUGCCAGCAGCCGCGGUAAUACGUAGGGUGCAAGCGUUAAUCGGAAUUACUGGGCGUAAAGCGUGCGCAGGCGGUUUUGUAAGACAGAGGUGAAAUCCCCGGGCUCAACCUGGGAACUGCCUUUGUGACUGCAAGGCUGGAGUGCGGCAGAGGGGGAUGGAAUUCCGCGUGUAGCAGUGAAAUGCGUAGAUAUGCGGAGGAACACCGAUGGCGGAGGCAAUCCCCUGGGCCUGCACUGACGCUCAUGCACGAAAGCGUGGGGAGCAAACAGGAUUAGAUACCCUGGUAGUCCACGCCCUAAACGAUGUCAACUGGUUGUUGGGUCUUCACUGACUCAGUAACGAAGCUAACGCGUGAAGUUGACCGCCUGGGGAGUACGGCCGCAAGGUUGAAACUUAAAUGAAUUGACGGGGUCAUAGCUGUUUCCU
rnacentral:rRNA from 1 species